GGGGAGGGACCUGCCUUGAUGAAAUGGUAAAAUCAAGGUUGAGUUUUUGAUAAAUUGACAAAAAGAGAUAUAAGGCCUUUGAUAACGACAAUUGGUAUAGAAAGUGAGGAAUGGAAGGCCAAGGAAUCUUAAUCAAGAUUUUAGUUUGAAUCUAAAUUGGUAUCAUGUUAAUACCUAACCCCUAGAAAAUUACCAAUGGGGGGGGGGGGGGAUAAAAGGUAGGAAACUUCAUAUAAAUUUUAGCUUGAAUGUUAGUUUUUAAAUCAAGAAGGUUAUGGAGAACCUUUUUGAUGUUUGCCAAAGUGGAAGAAUGAGUCGUUUAAAUUAGGAAACUAUUUUCAUGUUUUUACAUAGAAUAUGAAAAGAUGGACUAAUGGUUAAACCUAACUUAAAUAUAUUGUUAAACAUAAAAAAGAGGAGAUUAUUAAUGCAAUUCACCCUUGAUCAAAGUUGUAACCCAAUCAAAGCUUGACCAUGGUCUAGAGUUUUGAUGUUUGAGUAAUAUGUUAAGUGGUUAUUGGAAGUCCUCACAAAUCACAGAUUAAAUGUUAGGUAGUUGGUGUCCUAGAGGAGAAAACUCUAAGCCGAUGUGAAAGUUCUAUAAGAGUGAACUCUAUGCUGAGCAAGUGGAAGCCCUGGUAGUGAGGUUGGGCAAGACUAUGUCAUAAUAGUGAGGUUGAGCAAACGGAAGUCCUAGUGAUGAGGUUGGCAAUAGGUGUAAGUCCUAGAGACAAGGAGUCUCUUGGCAUAAGAAGUUUUAGUAGGUUGAGAUACUAGGCAACGUUAAACUCUCAGCAAGUUAAAUUGGCAUUGUUGGUAAUUACAUGGAUGGUUGUUCCAAUAGGUCUUAGGGUCAAUUCUCAGUGGGUGCAAAAUGCCUCAUUGGGUGCCUGACCUCCCAUGCACAGGGUCGUUUCUCGUGAUUUAUCUGUCUGUAUCUAGUCGGGGGACCGGCGACACUGAGUGCUUGAGGUGAGCGUUAUCAUCUUAUACUCUAAAAGGUUAAAGUCUUAGCAAGUUAAAGUUAACUUCUGGCAUAAUUGGUUGAAUGAUAUUUUGAGCAAUACGUUAUAUAGCUUUGUUAAAUGUAAGACUUUUAACCUUGUGUUGCAGUUCCGAUUCUCAUAGUGUGAAAAUAUAUUAAAAAUAUUUUGUCUAGAAUCAGAGUUUAGGCUAAAUGAGGGUUCUAGUUGACUAAAAUUAACAUUCUACUCGACUACAAAUAAUAUUCUAGUUUACUAAGAUGUUUAGUCAACUAAAAAUGACAUUCUAGUCGUGUAAGAUGGUUGGUUGACUUAAAUGGUUAGUGAUCAAAAGUGACUUUCUAGUCAACUAGAGACUUAGUCAACUCAAGAUUUGGUCUUAAAUUUUAUCUAGUCUAGUAGAUUAAAGUGACAUUUUAAUCGACUCAAACACAAUCAGUGGAAGAACAGGUUCAGAUCUAGACGAGGCGCUAUACGUGACAAAAGCUAGCCGAUUAGAAGCACUAUUAAUGAUUAACUUGGUCAGGUAACGUCGAACCUGGGGCGACCGGUCCGGCCCCACGAGAGUUUCCCAUCGGCCGCCGGGGUAAAUCGGGGAAAUGCAUAUGAAGAUCCAUUCUGACAGCCAACAUUCUCAAGUCCGCUAUCCAUUAAGGAGAAAAAUUCUCAAUAAUACGCUGUAGUCGAGUCUCGAACUCUAGAUCUCUGAUAUAUCACUCGAGGGCCUAACCAUGACACCUUGCCCCCCUCAGCUCACUAUUAAUGGACUAAGGCAACUAGUUGAUUAAAAAGUAGAUUGUAAUCAACUAAAGUAGGAAAAUAGCUUAUAUAAGUUGAUCUCAUGGAGAUUUUGAUACGUGAUUGGUUUCAAGGAGAGAGUUGUUGCAUUUUAGGACUAUCUUGAGCAACCUACAACGAGCAAUAAAAAAGGAAGCAACAAGUGUUUUUUUUUUAAAUUUUAGUUCUCUAAUUUUCAUUUCAGACUGUAGUUUUUUCUUUUGUUUUUGUUUUUGUAUUCUUAUAUUUCUUGUGUUGCGAUAAAAAUACGAAUUAUAAGCGGUUUAUUUGCCAUGAGAAGGUAUUCAAAAGGGAGAAAAGACACUAAUGUUAUCAGGGUGGAUCAUAGGUCGUGGAGUAGGAACUGGAGUUUCGAACUAAGUAAAAUCGGUGUUAUUGUUGUCUUUAUUUCAAUGUAUUAUUUCUUUUAUGUAUUUAUGUUGCACAAACUAACAAAGUGUAGUGACAAACAAUCAAACAAAUGUCAAAUUUAAGAUGUGACUUUUCACCCAUCUAGUUGUACAAUACAAUCCUAUAAAUUGGGUAGUCGAUUGAGUUAGCGAGUAAACUAGUAGUAGUUAAUUUGACACAAAAGUUGCAAUGGAUGAAUGACCUAGGGUUUAUUAGAGAAUAGUCAACUGAUGGUGGAAGAGUUGACUAAGGUAAUAGUUGACAAACUGAAGAUUGUCAACUAAUGAUGGAUCUAAUCGACUUAUCAAUGACAUUAGUGAUAGAAUAGCAUUAGAAAGUUAAAGUUGAAGAUGUAGAAGGCUGCAAAUGGAGAUUAAGAGGAGCAUUCAAAACCUGGUGAAAUAAUGAUUAUGAAAAUCUCUUGAGCCUUUCUAUUAUACUCAUGGCCUAUAUCUUCUUAGCUCUUACUUGUCUUGAUCUUGUAAUAUCAUUGUUGUAAGAGGUAUGUUCACCUCCAAAAGGUAUCCAAGAAGGAGAAAGAUAAUGAAUGAGUGACUCACUUUAUAGGUCGUGGAGUAGGAAUGGACAUUAUGAACCACAUUACAUUGUUGUGUAAGUGUUGAUAUGCGCUAAUAUGUAGUUAUGUUUUAAUUCUACUACAUAAUUUUGUGUUUGUAUGACCUAACUAAUACAUUAGUAAGAGUAAAAGUUUUAUUUACAAGCCAACUAUUAUUCACCCACUCUAGCCAUCUAGGCCAAUUUCCUCACAAUCCUAACAUUUCUUCCUUUUAUGCAAAUUAAGCUCCUUUUAGUAACUUCUUUCCUUACAUCGUGCUUCAUUUUACAUUAUUUAGGGCAGGAUUAGGGUUUUCAAUUUUUGUUUUUCUCUUCAAUACUUAAUUUUCUAUUUUUUCAAGGAGAGAAGUUCAUUUCCUAUAAACAUAGAGAUAUGUCAAACAUCAAUUAUUUAUAUUUUUUUUAUAUUAGUCAUGAAUGAAAUCAUUGGAUACAUCAAAGACAUGUUACCAUGGUGCAUGUUGUUUGCAGAUUGUUUUGAUCGGUGAGACACGUGAAGGAAGAAAUACUAAGCUCGAAUCUUGGCAGGAAAUACUAGAAGUAAAAGUUUUAGACUUAGUAGGGUAAAAACAUAAUACAUGAAGUUUAAGUUUAUUAACAUUAGACAUAGUAAAAUAAUUGUUAAUAUAGACAAGUUAGCUCUAUAAUUGUUAUUUGAAAAGGAUAGAGGAGUUAAUAAAGAUGUUUUACAUAGGAUACAAGUGGAUAAUUGAAAUGGAAGAGGGCGUCAGUUGUUCUUUGUGAUUGUAAAGUACUUUAAAAGUUUAAAGGAAAAUUUUACAAAAUAACAGCUACAUUUGUUAUAUUAUAUGAAGUUAAAUGUUGGCUAUGAAUCAAGCACACAAAUGAAAGAUGAGAGUCAUAAAAAUGAGGAUGUUGAGAUGGAUGUGCAAACAUAUGAGAAUGGUGAUAAAAAGAGAGAAAAUUAGAGAAAAAGUCAGGGUUGUGCCUAUUAAGAGAAAAUUCUGAUAGAUACGUUUAAGAUGUGUACUUAGGCAACUAAUAGAUACACUAAUUAGGCGAUAUGAGACCAUGAUAAAUAUGCAUAUUAAUUGAGGAAGAGAGAUCAAAGAAGACUUAGUUAGCAACGAUAAAAUAAGAUAAAAUUAAUUUAAAUAUAGAUAAGGACCAGGGGAUCGAGCUUAAUGGCGUAAGAGGAUCCAUAUUGCAAAGGAUAAAGAAGGCUUGGUUGUUGUGGUCAUAUAUCUUAAAUUGAUUUAGAAGUUGUAAUCCUUUAAGCCUAAUCUUGAGAUUGUUGAUCUUAAUAUUGAGUAAAUUGUUUAGAAGUUGUCAUCCUCUAAGCACAAUCGUGAGGAUUUAUUAUCUAUUUUCAAAAGCAAUCCAAAGAUCUAGAUAUGCUUAUCUUGUAAAGACUAACGUUGUCCAAUCUCUUAUAUAGUAAAAUUUUCCUUUGGGAAAGUAUCACACUAAUACAAUAUGGACUAUGAAGUAAAAAAAGUCUUUGAACAAUGCUAAGUUUGUCUGUUUAACAUUGUUUUAUUUCUAUUCUUUAUUUUUCACUUCUAAUAUUGUAAGUACGCUAGCAAUCUUUUUUUUUUUUAUUGCAAGUAUCUUAGUUUUACUUUUUGCUACAUUUUCCCAUACUAAUCUCAUAUCAAGCUCAUGUACCAAUCUCUAACAUUUUUCUUGAGUUUUGUGAUUGUUUAUUAAGAAUUUUUGUGAAUUAUCUAUUCACCUCUCUCUAAAUGAUCCUUUUGAUCUGAUCAUUAGUAAUUUGUAAUAUGACAAGUGCUUUUGAUACCACUUGAUCUUUUGAAAACCAUAUCAAUGUUGGCCAAAAUUCUCUUUAUCAUACCACCACAUGUAGAUCUAAACUUUGUGUCUUUAGAAUGCAAAAUUGCCUCCGCCACAUGGUUGAAUGGUAGAUUUUCUUCAUCUCCCUUGGUAGAAUAGCACAAUCACAAAAAAGAAGAGAAAUGUAACGUGGAUCGAUGUAAAGCCUAUCUAUAGUGAGAAUCCAAUUCUAAUAUGAUAAAAAGGUAUAAUGAUAACUGAGACAGAUAGUGCGCUCCCACCUCUUGUAUAAGAGAUCUAUCAAUAAACCUAUUCCUUUUAAUACCAAUUACAAAAAUGACAGAGAACAUCGUCUUUCCUGAAUGACCAAUUCUCCGGUCUCUUCUCACUAUGGUCUCUUAUAGCCUCUACAUGCACCGAUGGCAUCUCAUAAGUUUUAGAAUGCUUCACAAGUCUAGAUGAAAAAUAUCCUUAGUCAUCUUAUAUUUGAUAGACUUUUUCAAUUCUAAAUUUGUUUAGCCAUUUUCUUUAGUUUUCUAAUUUAGCUUUGCAUUUAUCCCAAUAUUGUGAUAAUCAACCGCACACAUCACCAUAAAUUUGGAAAUGAUGGCCAAGCUCCUUUGCUGCCCAUCAUCAUCUUUUAAGGCCCCAUCAGUACUGAUCCUGACCAACAUUACCAACUUUAAGGACAUUGUCUAAAUGUGCAAUGCUAAUCCUUAAACUUGGUUACUGCGGCGGCCAAGCUCAAGCAUUGGGGAGCUCUUCUGCUGAUGAUAACCUAUCUUAAACUUCGUCAAGUUCCAACAUUCCAAUAACUUUAAACUAGGAUUUCUAGAUGAUUUGGCUAGUUGGGCCUUUAACUAGAUUGCUCCCCAUAGGUGGAAACCAAACAAUUGAAUUAAUGGAAGAGUUGGCUAGUUGGGCCUUUAAUGCUUAACAGUGUAUUUAACAAUGAUUUUCAGCUCUCUAAAUUGAGUAAGUUUGAUAUUGGAAAUGGAAAAUGAGGCCCUUUGACCCUAUUAUCUAUAUAUAUAUAUAUAUAUAUAUAUAUAUAUAUAUUACCGUAUCUGUAUAUAUUAAUUAUACCUAAUUAUAGUUUACUAAGGUUGAUUAUAUAAAUAUGGUUCACUUUUCAAUAAAGUUAUUAUGAAUUCUUUUUUAUCUUAAACAUGGUAUCAUAGCAGAAGAAGAGCUGUCCACGUAUGAAAAAGCCGCCCAUUCUUCUUCGUCAACACAUCACGCGAAUCUCCUUGCGUUCGCUGCCCAACUGUUCACUUCUCGCGUGCGGCAUGGGACUUGGUGUUGGUCUUCUUCUCGCUCUCGCUCUCGACGCGAUGCUAGGUCUCCGUUGUCUCCUCGCUCUCGAUGCAGUGCUAGGUCUUCGUCUUCUUCUCACGUUCAACUCGGUGCCAUGUUUCGAUCUUCUCGCGCUUGUAGUUGCGCUCGUCACUGAUUUAGACAGAAGAUCUGGCCACCUCAAUCAUUUCUUCUCCUUCGAUUUCCUUCAAGAUCCGGGUUUUGCAAUCUUCCUAGAUUGUCUUUCCUGCCGCGCCCCUUCUCUUGGAUUUGCCGUCACCUACGACGACAACAAUGACAGGCAUGUGGUGAUAUAGUUACGAAGGGCACGAGCCUCUGAAAGUCGUCUCGUCAACGACCUUGGUCUCAACAAUGAAUUUUGGUUGCAAAAGUGUUCGUGUUAACAACUCCACGAUCGUUUUCUAUUUCUUCCUUUGCUGUUGCCUCACACCGCCACCUCUAGCCCUAACGCAGGCAAGAGAAAAAUAGAGAAGUCUAAGAAUUCUGCUCUGAGUAGCCAUUGCAUUUUGAUCUUCCUUUGAUAGAAAUCAGAGAAUUCUUCCUUCGUCUCUUAUUUGACUUCCUUUGGGAUAAAAGCUUAUGGCUGAAAAUAAGCCCUCUAUUAUGGCUGAAAAUAAGCCCUCUAUUGUGACAGAUGUGGUGCCAGUGAUGCCUAAAAUCACGAACUAUAAGUUAAAUGGUUCAAACUAUUUGGAUUGGAGUAAGAUUGUUCAUCUUUGUCUAUAAAGUAUUGACAAAGAUGGUCAUUUGACUGAUAACCCUCCUUAAGAUGAUUUGAAGUAGACAUGGCUUAAGUGAGGAUGCUCAGUUUUUCCUUCAAAUUCAAUGGUAGCAAAAGGUGGAAUCCGCCACCCCAGCAGCCCCACACGGUCGGUGCCACGACCAUCCAUGAGGAGGUAAAUCGGGAAGCUGUAGUUGGCCAGUGUGGAGGAGGGCUUUUUUUCCUUGACUUUGCCGAGAUUCGAACCCUUAUCCUAUGGUAGUAACUCUGCUCCGCACUAGCCAACUCAACCUUGCUCCGGGGGCUAUUCCUUCAGAUUCAAAAUUGUAUUGAUAGCGUGGUAAUUGGUUUGAUCAAACUAAUGGAUUACUUGAAAUUCUAUACUUUGGAAAAGGGAAUCUCUCUCGUAUGUAUGAAGUUUGCAAAGCAUUUUACCAUGUGGAAAAACAAGAUGGGCCUCUAAUCAAUUAUUUUAUGGCAUUCAAGAAAACAUAUAAGAAACUUAAUAUGCUAUUAUCCUCCAGCCCUGAUGUGAAGGUUCGACAACAUUAACGAGAGUAGAUGACUAUCAUGAGCUUCCUCGCUGGCCUAUCUCUUGACUUUGAGUCAGCUAAGUCAGAAGUUCCCUCUGGCUCUGAGGUCUCCUCUUUACAAGAUAUAUUUAGUCGCAUUAUCUGUACAAAAAGUAUUGCAUCUGUUCCCCUUAGUGAUGCUUUAGUAAGUCGUAAUACUAAUUAUGUGCCUAGUAGUCAUAAUGGAAACAAAGGAGGAGGUUCCCAGGACUUUCAAACUCGAAUGCCAAAUUCUGAUGGUAUUGUGUGCAAUUACUGUCGUAAGCUAGAGCUUCAGUAAAAAAUCAGCAAAAACACUUGGCCCAUAUUGCAUCCACUAAUGAUGUCUCCGAUAAAUUGGUUCUUUUCUAUGCGGAUGGAUUUGCCAAGUUCUCAUUAUAUCAGGAAUCACUCAAGUCUUCAUCUUCCUUUGUCACUGCUAUUGCUGAUUCAAGUAAACGCAACGCAUGUCUUGUUUCCUUAUCCUCCAAAUAGGUCAUUGAUUUUGGUGUCACAGAUCAUAUGAUAGAUAAUUCUAGUCUCUUUUCUAUUUUUCAAUUCAAAGCUAACACUGCUAUUGUUACUUUAGCUGAUGGGUCUCUAUCUUGUGUUUGUAGGUCUGACACAAUCAAUUCUACCCCUUUGCUUCCUUUGUCCUUUAUCUUAUAUUUACCUAAUUUAUCCUUUAAUUUUCUCUCUGUUUGUCAAAUAACUCAUAAUAUUAACGGUUGCAUCACAUUUUUUCCUUGAACAUUGCUUAUUUUAGGAUCUUUUGACGAAGAAGAUUAUUGGUAAAGGACAUAAGUCUGGAGGCCUCUACAUCCUUGAUACACCACUCCAAAUUAUUUUGCUUGCUCAAGUAUUACUUCUUUUGAGGCUCAUUAUAGGUUGAGACAUCCAUCUCUUCCUUUUCUCAAAAACUGUCCACAAUAUGAUAAAAUGUUUUAUUAGAUUGUGAGUCGUGUCAGUUUGCAAAACAUCACUGUCUUAGUUCAAGUCCUAGAAUAAAUAACAUUCUACUAUUCCUUUUGAAUUAGUACAUUCUGAUAUUUGGGGUCCUUAUCCUAUUUUGUCUAAACCUGGUUUUAGGUAUUUUGUUACUUUUGUGGAUUAUUGUUCUCAUGUAACUUGGUUAGAUUUAUGAAAAAUUAUUCUGAGUUAUUUCCUCUAUUUUGUGCAUUUUGUGCUGAGAUUAAAACUCAGUUCAAUGCUGUCCAUCUGUAUUUUACGAAGUGAUAAUGCUAAAGAAUAUACGCCCAGUUCCUUCUAGUCUUAUACGAGUCAGAAUGACAUGCUUCAUGAAGCUUCUUGUGUUGAUACUUCAUCCCAAAAUGGUGUGGCUGAACAUAAAAACAAGUAUCUUCUUGAAACUGCAUGAGCCCUUUUAUUUCAAAUCAAUGUUCCCAAACAUUUUUUUUGAGCUGAUACAGUUUGUACAUCAUAUUUUCUUAUUAACUGCAUGCCAUCCUCUGUUCUUCAUGGUGAGAUCCCUUACAAAAUCUUUUUUCCCAAUAAAUCGUUAUAUCCUAUUAACCCUAGGAUAAUUGGCAGACUUGUUUUUUCAAGAUGUUCGUCGACAUGUUACUAAAUUAUAUCUCAAGUCUUUGAAGUGUAUCUUUCUUGGUUAUUCUUGUUUUUAGAAAGGUUAUAGAUAUUAUUGUCCAAUAUUAACAAAUAUCUUGUCUUAAUUGAUGUUACUUUCAUGGAAGCCACCUUAUUUCUCAUCCUCACCUAUCCUGACUCAUCAAAGGGAGGAUGAUGAUUUAUUGAUAUAUUCUAUCACAUCCUUCGUACUCGUCCCGGAAUCGGCUCCUGUCAAAUGUCCUAUUAUUCAAGUCUACUUUAGGCGUCAACCUCUUGAUUCAUGUCCUGCAUCUACUACUUCACCACCGGAUCGAUUCCCGAGUGAUGAUCUUCCUAUUGCAAUACGCAAAGGUAAACACUAGUGUACUUAUCCUACUUCUUUGGUUUCUUAUAAUGACUUGUCAUCUUCCUCUUGUUCUUUUAUUACUUCACUUGAUUCUAUCUCUAUUCCUAAAAUUGUUCGUGAGGCCAUAACUCAUCCUGGUUGGAAAGAUGUAAUAAUAGAGGAGAUGAAUGCUUUAGAUGACAAUGACACUUAGGACUUGAUUGAUCUACCUUCAGAAGAAUGUGCUAUUGGAUGCAAAUGAGUAUUCCUAGAUCAGUUGCCAGAUUAAAAUCCCGUCUUGUUGCUAAAGGCUAUGCUCAAACCUAUGGUGUAGAUUAUUCUGACACUUUUUCUCCUGUUACAAAGUUGACAUCUGUUUGCUGCUACUCAUAUUUAACCUUUACAUCAACUUGAUAUUUUCCUGAUUUUGUUGCUUAGGGGGAUUCAGGGCGAGUUUAUUGUCUUCGAAAAGUUUUGUAUGGUUUGAAAUAGAGUUCUCGUGCUUGGUUUGGAAAAUUUAGUCAAGCUGUUGAAAAAUUUGGUAUGAUGAAAAACAAGUCUAACCAUUUUGUGUUCUACAAGUAGUCAAUAGUGGGUAUCAUUCUAUUAGUUGUGUAUGUAGAUAUUGUUAUCACUAGAAGUGAUAUUAUGAGAAUCUCAUCUCUUAAAUCUUUCAUUCAUACUCAGUUUCAUACGAAAGACUUAGGGGUACUAAAAUAUUUCUUGGGUGUUGAGGUUAUGAGGAAUAAAAAACAUAUAUUUCUAUCUCAGAGAAAAUAUGUCCUUGACUUACUAACUGAGACAGGAAAAUUGGGUACAAAGCUUUGUAGUGCUCUAAUGACUCAGAACAUGCACCUCACAUGAGAUAGGAAACUAUUUGAACAUCCUGAGAGAUAUCAAAGGUUGGUUGGGAAGUUGAAUUACCUUAUUGUAACUCGUCCAGAUAUUGCAUAUUCGUUAGUGUUGUCAGUCAUUUCAUAUCAUCUCUAACUGUUCAUCAUUAGACAAUAUUAGAACAAAUUUUGUGUUACUUAAAGGGAGCACCCAGACAGGGUAUCGUAUAUAAAAAUCAUGGGCAUGAUCAUAUUGAAUGUUUUUCAGAUAUAGAUUGAGUAGGUUCUUAAAUGGAUAGAAGAUCUACUUUAAGCUAUUGUAUCUUUGUUGGAGGAAAUUUAGUCUCAUGGAAGAGUAAGAAGCAAAACAUUGUAUCACGAUCCAGUGCUGAGUCAGAAUAUAGGGCUAUGAUAUAGUCUGUGUGAGAUAAUGUGAUAUAUCAACUCUUGACUGAAGUAGGACUAAAAAUUUCACUACUAGCAAAGCUAUGAUGUGACAACCAAGCAACUCUUCAUAUUGCAUCGAACCUUAUGUUUCAAGAGCGAAUUAAGCACAUUGAAAUUAAUUGUCAUUUUGUUCGUGAGAAAAUUCAUCAAAACUUGAUUUCUACACGAUAUUUGAAGACUGAAGAACAACUCAGAGAUAUCUUCACAAAAGCUUUAAAUGAAGUUCGAGUCGAUUAUCUUUAUAACAAGUUAGGUAUGAUUAAUAUCUAUGCUCCAAUUUGAAGAGGAAUAUUAUAUAUAUAUUUUACCAUAUUUGUAUAUAUAUAAGUUGCUAUAUUAUUUGUAUAUAUUAGGUAAUAUAUCUAUCAAUUAGGUAAGUUGUCAAUUAGCCUAAUUACCUAAUUAUAGUUUCUGAUUGAUUCCUUUUUUAUCUUAAAGUAACAGACCCAAAUAUCUUACUAAUGCCUGAUGACUUUAAGGACAGGCUCUUUAGGAAAGCAUAAUUUAUCCUAGAAUCUUAUUGUAUGCAUAAAAACAUUUAUUCACGAAUCCAAAAUACAGACCACAUAGGCUCUCAGGUAGUUUUCAAACUUUACACAUCCCCAAGUAAAUACUUCCAAAUUACUUCACACUUAUAUUUAAUUGUUUUCAUUCAACUUAGCAUCAUCCAAUGACCUAUAAUACAUUUUAGAAUUUCAAAUAUAGGUAAUCGAAAUCUGCUGGCUCAAACUUGUCAAACGUCAAAAUGACAUGAUAUAAUGAAUCACAAUAGAGAAACGAAGAUUCUUCAACUACUAACUCAUGCAAACACAUGAUACACUAGUCGAUAUGAGAACAAUCUUGUUCCAACUAAUUGUUAGAACUUUGACAUAAAACAAGAUUGCAAACCUUGAUUACAUUUGACAAAAAUAGUGAAAAUAGAUUGUUUAACUAAACUUUAGAUCUUGAACUAUUCUUGCUGAAGUAAUUUAGUUUCUAAGAGGUAUUUCUACUGUAUUUAAAUUGCAUCAGGGUGCUAGUUAAGACAAGUUAUAUUGCCAACUAAAGACAGAGAAUUGUAGCAAUCAAGAUUUCACCAUGCAAAAUUAUUGGAAACAUUGGAAUAUGUUAUUAGGUCGAAACUAUGCUUGUGUCAACUUGUUGCCGUAGGAAAUUUAUUUAGUUUUAUAUUACAAGGAAGUUGCUUCUAUUGUUUUUUCACUUCAUUCUUUGAAUAAUGUUCCAUUUUUUUUGUUUUAGAUUCAUUAUUGUAGAACUAAUAGCACUGAUAUUCAACUUCUUAUGAUAGUGCCAUAUAAUAUUAAUUAUUUUCUAAAAAAAAUCUAAGACAAUUAAUUAUAUACUUGGCCAGUUUUGAUCAAGAGAAACAAAUCUAAUAAAAACAUUAUGAUAAAGUUUUUAGAGGAAUAGAACUAGGUGGCAAGCAAAAAAUUGAUUGUCCCAAUGAUUCAACCGUUUCACUUGGGUUGAUUCUAGUCUUUUGAGCCAAACAUAUAACUGAUGUUUCUCUACAAUCAGCACGUUAGUGCAGAGGAUUUAUGUAAACCCUUUCUAUGUUGAGCAUCCUUAAUGAAAGACUUGCAAAUAUGGUUGAACAAAAAAUUAAGGGAGAACACUUAAAGAAGUUUCCUUUCCUCCUGAUUUAGACUUUUAAUGGUGCAUGGAACCAAUAGAAUGGUUUCUUUUUCAUGGUUGCAAAUGCAUCUUUAAUGUACCCAUUGAAUUAAGGUUGUUCCUUUUCAAGAGCAGUGCCCUUUUAAUAAUAAAUAAUUUGGAAAUAAAUCAUUAUUUAAAAUUAAGAGUUAAAUGGAUACGUGAUUGUGAAUAUCAUAAAUCAGAUAACACCAACACUAUAUUUAUGAAUGUAUGAAUAUAAGAUGAUUACUAUUUAUUGAAUAGUAGCAUUGUGGAGACAUUUCUUUUUAUCUUUCAUGCCCACCUUUUGUAAUUUGGGGGGCAUUUGGAGGAUGUGAAGAAAUUUCUUCUUACCACCUUGAAUAACUUGUGUGUCUAAGAUAUGCUCAACUGUACAUAAUAAGAUGCAGUUUAAUAUCUUUUACUUUUUAGUUCAUUUACGACAACUUGUUGAGUUAAAGGUACCAGACACUCAUAAGCUACAGUCUAUUAGAGACAUUCAUCCUUAAUUUGAAAGUAACAAACCAUUUAACCAUUUAACUGAGAAAAUAAUUCAAAGAUGGUUAUAACUAAUGGAAUGAAAUAGCUUUCAGAUAAGUUCUCACACGCACAACAAAGUACUAUAUUUAUAUGGAUUAAUGACAAGUUAUCUGCCUUUUACAUGUUUACAGUGAUGCGUGGAGAACUUCAUAAAAGAAUAUAUGGGUUCUUAACUUUAGUUAGAGCAGUACUAUAUUUAUGCCUACACACCCGAUUCCCGAAAAUAGUUUUGUUCUCAGUUAUAUACUGAAAUUUUUGUUAUUUAGUAGGCAUCUUAAUUGCUCAUUUGAUUUUCAAUGCAAGAAGAUGCAACAAAUCUUUGACGCGAAAACCAAUUGAAAAUCAAAUUAUUUGCUCAUACCUGUGUUUGUAGGUGGACUUGAAAUGAUUUGGUUGGCAGCCCUGAACUCAAAAAGAAAUAAUAAAAGAGUAUACCAAAGUAAACUUUGUAACACAAUUAUCUGACCCAUGAAGUUUGCAGCUUCGUCACCAUACAUGCUGUUCAAUAAUGGGAUCCCUACAAUCAAGGUGUUGGGUAGUGUGGAUAAAGAGAAUGCAGUGAUCAGCCAAUCAAAAUUCCCUCUAGACCAUACACUGCAUAGGAUUGUAGAUAGGAACAUGGCUAACAACUUCUGUAAUAUGUCCGCAGAUAUAAGUUUAACAUCCAUUUGAUAGGGAUUGUUGGUUGAGAUGACAUGGAAGGAAAGCAGAGGAAUUGAGAAUCUUGACACAAAUUUGUUAAUUCCAGAGCACUGCUCAGGUGUGAAUAAUUUCCACAGCUUAAUAGAGAGAUAAGCCAAGAUCAUUGCAGCAUACAAUGGUACUAUCGCCUCGACGACGUGGUAGGCAUUUGUCCAAGUGAUCAUAUUGGCUAUAAGUUUUUCAACAAUGGCAGAUGAUUAAAUGUUCCUGUGCAUGUGCAACACUUUAUAAAGACGGUUUACAGGGAUUAAGGCAAGAAGAAUAAAGAAGUGAAUUGCAGACGAAGAAAGGGAGUGAUAUGUUACCUCACUGUACAAGUUAUUGAUGAUGGCAAAUAAGGUAAAAGGAGGAGAAUAAGUGCAACAUUAAGCUUGCUUUACAUGGCUGAACAUCUAUCCAAAAUUGAUAGAUCCUUCUUUUCUAAAGCCUUUCACUUGCAGUUUUGUUUGUUUCUCCAUAAUGAUGUCAUGGGCCAUAGACUUUAUUCUUCUGCUUCAUACACCUAUAAUGGCAGACCAGCUGAUUAUGACUACAGGAUCUGUGAGGACUUCAGCUCAAAAAUUAACCCAAUUUAAGUUAUAAGUUGGGCCAAGUAUCAUUUUGCCAUAGAACUGUCAAAGUAUCAGUUUACCUAUAGUACCAUUGGUAAUAACGCUGUGUCCAUGCUAUACCUCUUAAGAAAUGUAUGAAUUCUAGAAGAAUAGUGUUAUUUUGCCUUCGCGUAGAAUUUUAUUAAGAGUUAUAUUUUGACAGAUUCUAAUAUUA